rnacentral:rRNA from 1 species
GAUGAACGCUGGCGGCGUGCCUAAUACAUGCAAGUCGAGCGAACAGACGAGGAGCUUGCUCCUUUGACGUUAGCGGCGGACGGGUGAGUAACACGUGGGUAACCUACCUAUAGGACUGGGAUAACUUCGGGAAACCGGAGCUAAUACCGGAUAAUAUUUCGAACCGCAUGGUUCGAUAGUGAAAGAUGGCUUUGCUAUCACUUAUAGAUGGACCUGCGCCGUAUUAGCUAGUUGGUAAGGUAACGGCUUACCAAGGCAACGAUACGUAGCCGACCUGAGAGGGUGAUCGGCCACACUGGAACUGAGACACGGUCCAGACUCCUACGGGAGGCAGCAGUAGGGAAUCUUCCGCAAGGGGCGAAAGCCUGACGGAGCAACGCCGCGUGAGUGAUGAAGGUCUUCGGAUCGUAAAACUCUGUUAUUAGGGAAGAACAAACGUGUAAGUAACUGUGCACGUCUUGACGGUACCUAAUCAGAAAGCCACGGCUAACUACG